CUGAUGCAGCGACGCCGCGUGAGGGAUGACGGCCUUCGGGUUGUAAACCUCUUUCACCGCCGACGAAGCGAGAGUGACGGUAGGCGGGGAAGAAGCACCGGCUAACUACGUGCCAGCAGCCGCGGUAAUACGUAGGGUGCGAGCGUUGUCCGGAAUUAUUGGGCGUAAAGAGCUCGUAGGCGGUUUGUCGCGUCGGCCGUGAAAACCUACCGCUUAACGGUGGGCGUGCGGUCGAUACGGGCAGACUUGAGUUCGGUAGGGGAGUCUGGAAUUCCUGGUGUAGCGGUGAAAUGCGCAGAUAUCAGGAGGAACACCGGUGGCGAAGGCGGGACUCUGGGCCGAUACUGACGCUGAGGAGCGAAAGCGUGGGGAGCGAACAGGAUUAGAUACCCUGGUAGUCCACGCUGUAAACGUUGGGCGCUAGGUGUGGGUGACAUUCCACGUUGUCCGUGCCGUAGCUAACGCAUUAAGCGCCCCGCCUGGGGAGUACGGCCGCAAGGCUAAAACUC
rnacentral:rRNA from 1 species